rnacentral:rRNA from 1 species
UACGUAGGCAGCAAGCGUUGUUCGGAGUUACUGGGCGUAAAGGGUGUGUAGGCGGUUCUCUAAGUCUGGUGUGAAAUCUCCCGGCUCAACGUGGGAGGGUGCGCCGGAAACUGGAGAGCUAGAGUACUGGAUGGGAGAGUGGAAUUCCUGGUGUAGCGGUGAAAUGCGUAGAUAUCAGGAGGAACACCGGUGGCGAAGGCGGCGUCCUGGACCAACACUGACACUGAUGAGCGAAAGCCAGGGGAGCAAACGGG